UAGCAGCAUAAGUAUUAAAGGUCCUGCCUGCCCAGUGAAAUUUUUUAAACGGCCGCGGUAUUCUAACCGUGCAAAGGUAGCGUAAUCACUUGUCUUCUAAAUAAAGACCAGUAUGAACGGCUAAAUGAGGACAAACCUGUCUCCUACAACCAAUCAGUGAAACUGAUCUCCCAGUCCAAAAGCUGGGAUAAAAACAUUAGACGAGAAGACCCUGUGGAGCUUAAAACCAACCUAGUCUCACACUAAACUAGCAAGUGUUUUAAGUUGGGGCGACUUCGGAAAAAAACAAAACUUCCGAGCACAGAACCACCAAUUCCAACUAAGGAAAACAUGCCAAAGCAAAAAUUGACCCAGUACACACUGAUCAACGAACCAAGUUACCCCAGGGAUAACAGCGCCAUCCUCUUCAAGAGUCCAUAUCGACAAGAGGGUUUACGACCUCGAUGUUGGAUCAGGGCACCCCAAUGGUGCAACCGCUAUU
rnacentral:rRNA from 1 species